rnacentral:lncRNA from 1 species
GACCUCUCUGCUCACUCUACUAAACAAGGGGGAUAGACCAGCUGCUCACCAAAAUCUACAGAAGUAGGGCUCUUUUUUUUCUUUCCCACAGAGGAACCAGACUGUAUCAGAGUCUCUAUCUAGCCUGUGACAUGACCACCAGGAUGGAUCUAACAGAGCCAUACUGAAGACUGCCACAGAAUACAAACAUGGGCCAGAGAAUGCUACCUGUUAAGCCUGGCCUCCAGGUGACUGCUGAGAUACUCAGAUGGGAAGAUGGUGUGUUCAAACACAGAGAAACUGUGCACAUGAUUCAUUGCCAGUGCCAAUUCAGUCAAGUUUAGAUGUAGUUUGUCCAUGCUGAAAGGAAAAAGAGAAUUUGAUUAUGGUGCUGGUCUGGUGCUGUCCAUUGGCUUCUGGGAAGGAAAUACCAGGCUGUGUUUGGAGCUCUGCCACUCUUGAGAAACACUCAGCCUAGAAUGGUACACACUAAUGUUCUUCAAAAGCAAAGUAGGAAACUCACCUGGGUGCUUUUUUUUAUCUAUCAACUCACACCACCUCCCCUACUUCCACCCCACACACACCCAAUCACAUUCCUUCUUUCCCUUUUCUCCCUCCGUUAAUACAGCGCCAUUUGGCCCUCAGGAGCCAGACCCUCACUUAGUGACAAGGCUGCGGUUCUUCCGAUGACUCUCUGCUCCUGGCUUGUCCCUCUCAGGCUCUCCUUUCCUGGGAGCCUGCCUCUGCUUCAUGGACUUCUUAUUCUUGGCUUUGCUGAUGGUGGUGGCACAGUGCUUAGGUAGAAGCUUUGAAACAGACAUGGUGGGGAAAUAAGCAAAAGUCAUUGCUAACAGCUGAGAAUCAUCGUCAUCUGCUCCUUUCCCCACCCACCUAGCUUCUCUUUCUCUAGUGGGGAGUUUUUUAGAAUGUGUUCGCCUCUUCCUGUGUGUUCAUAAAUAUUUCCCUGUGUACAUCCUCAAACCCUGAGAUGCCAGUGUCUCUCAAGGAUGAAAGCACUGCUCCCCUACCCACAUCUGAGGUCUUUCCUAACAGAAAAAUUUAAGGGAAAACAGUCAGAGCCAAAACUCCACUUACCUUAUUUUGUAGGGUCCCAAAGUGGGGAAACAAUACUUUUUGCUAGAUAAACCUAUCAUCUCACCAGCUAUACCCCUUAUUGUUCUGUCUACUGCCCAGUCUAUCUAUCAUGGCUCUCCCAGUUCUCAAAGUUUACAUGUUCAGUAUCCUUUCCUUGUUUCUUCUUUUUCUUAAAUAUGUGUAUAUGUAUAUUUUUUGCUAGCUAGCUCAAACAUCAAUCCUCCAUUUCUCCUUUCUCUGUGUAGCCCUACAGAAAAUACAAACUAUCACUUGAUACUCAAAUUGCCUUAGGGAAUCACUUUGGAUGAGCCACGCAGGAAAAUUCAUUUUGUAAUCACACUUCCUAUUCUUAAAUACAAACUCAGUAGAUUCAAAAAAUUCAAAAAAUAAAAUAAAAUCCACCAUGGUAGACAAAGAUACUUUAAUACAAAAGUAUUUGUGGUUGGUUAAAAAACCAGUAUCCAAAUAUAUAACCUUAAUAGUAAUAGCAUCAAUAAUUAUUUACUCAAAAUGUUAACUCUGAAGGGCCAAUACUCACUUGCUUACAACAGUUCUGUGCACAAAUAAUUAUUCACCAAGGCUUAGUCAUUCCUGACACAGCACUGAGUAAGCCUGCCUACUAUACAUGUAGUAGAUAUUUGUAGAGUAUGAUGAAUACAACUGUAAGUAUCCUCACUUGUGUAUCUUCUGUGCAUCAAUUACUUACAUUCUUUUAAUCACGUAUUUGUAUUUCCCUUACCUACACUGGGACAUUCCCAAAGACAGAGAUCAUGUACCUUCCUUCUUGAUCUUCACUCCAAACUAUUAGCCUAAGAGAUUAGUGUCCAUCAAGCUUCACACAAUACAAGUGCUAACAUUUAUUGGCUACUGUAUAUACAAAAUAUUUAGUGUACUCUAUUUCAUUUAAUCCUCAUUGCAACUCUGUGAAAAAUGUUAUUCAUCCUUACUUGACACAUAAGAAAAUGAAAAAGCUGCAUGAUACAAUAACUGUUUAUCUGUACUCACAAAGUUAGACAUAUUACACAUGUACAGACACACACACUCAUAGCUUACUUCCUCUCCUACAAAAGUUGCUACUAUUCUGACUCAAAUCCAGGAAGGGUGGGUAGUCUGGGAAAUUCAAGGCUCCAUAGACAAAAACAAAACUAACUUCUUAUUCCUGAUUUUCUGAAAUGUAGGCUGAUCUAAUCAUGACCAGGUGCUAUGAGUCAGUAAAGGGAGAAAGACAAAAAUAAAAUAAAAAAAAUAAAAAUCCAACAACCCAGAAGACAAGAAAGUAACUAGCACUAGAGUGCUUGAAAAGUUCAGUUAGUUGUAGACUGGGAUGCUGAUAAACAGAAAAACUAGACAAGAUAGAGACCUGGGACCAUUGUUGAAAGUAUGUGAGCACCAUGCAAAGAAGACAAAGUUCAUCUCCCAAAACUCUCCAAAUGGAGCACAGAUUUUAAUGGAGUUUAUCUGCUCAAGUAAAAGUGUUUUCAGGUAUUUCUAUCCACUGAGUGUAUCCAACCUACCACAACAGAUCAUGUGCAACCAAGGAUAAAACAAAAUCACAAACAUUAAGACAUGUGUGUGGUGUGGUGUGUGGGUGUGUGUGUGUAUGUGUGCGCGCCCCAUUUUGUAACUCAGUUGUGGAGUUCUCCAGUAUGAACUUUGUAGAAGACUACCUCAGGUCACAAUGUCAAAAGGUUAUGUGUUGUGAUUCUAAUCCCAAGAGAUUAUUUGAAGUGACUAUACUGAUAGAGGAAUUCUAGCCUAAACCAAGUUCACAAAAGCCCUAGCCCUACUCAAGAAAUGGAGAAUCUAUCUGACCUGUGAGAGAGAAACAAGAGUGGCCCGAGGAAAAGGCACUGAAGGUUAGUCUCUUUGAGACCCAUUCUUUCCUUCAGCUCAUUAAGAAGCCAAGAAUGACCUUGAAUUCCUGAUCCUACUGUCCUUACCUUCCAAGUGCUGAGAUUAUAACUAUGUGUCACCACACCUGGUUUCCUGUCUUUUCAAUCUAAAUGUUGUAGCUGGAGAGAUGGCUUGGUAGUUAAGAGCAUUUACUACUCUUUGAAAGGACCCAGGUUCAGUUCCGAGUACUCAUAUCAAGUGGCUCACAACUACCUGUAUAACUCCAGCUCCAGGGAAUUCAACACCUUUUUUUGUCCUUUGUGGGUACCCACAUACAGGUGGAAUACACAUAGAGAGACAUACAUUCAUACCCAUAAAUGAAAAUAAAUAUUUGAACUAUAGUGUCCUAAGAAUUUAAAAUAGC